rnacentral:rRNA from 1 species
AGAGUUUGAUCAUGGCUCAGGAUGAACGCUAGCGGCAGGCCUAAUACAUGCAAGCUGAACGGUAAAUAUGCAGCAAUGCAAUAUGAGAGUAGCGUAAGGGUGCGUAACACGUAUGCAAUCUGCCCUGUACAGGAGGAUAGCUCGGCGAAAGCCGGAUUAAUACUUCGUAAUAUUAUGUUGUGGCAUCACAGUAUAAUUAAAGUCGCAAGAUGGUACAGGAUGAGCAUGCGUCUGAUUAGCUAGUUGGUAGUGUAACGGACUACCAAGGCGAUGAUCAGUAGGGGAACUGAGAGGUUGAUCCCCCACACUGGCACUGAGAUACGGGCCAGACUCCUACGGGAGGCAGCAGUAGGGAAUAUUGGUCAAUGGGUGAGAGCCUGAACCAGCCAUGCCGCGUGCAGGAAGAAGGCCUUCUGGGUUGUAAACUGCUUUUGCCGGGGGAUAAAAUUCCCAUGCGUGGGACAUUGAAGGUACCCGGUGAAUAAGCCACGGCUAACUACGUGCCAGCAGCCGCGGUAAUACGUAGGUGGCAAGCGUUGUCCGGAUUUAUUGGGUUAAAAGGGUGCGUAGGCGGCCUAUUAAGUCAGUGCUGAAAUAUCCCGGCUUAACCGGGAGGGUGGCAUUGAUACUGAUGGGCUUGAGUAGAGUCGAGGUAGGCGGAAUUGACGGUGUAGCGGUGAAAUGCUUAGAUAUCGUCAAGAACACCGAUAGUGUAGACAGCUUACUAGACUCAAACUGACGCUGAGGCACGAAAGUGUGGGGAUCAAACAGGAUUAGAUACCCUGGUAGUCCACACUGUAAACGUUGAUUACUCGCUGUGUGCGAUAUACAGUACGCGGCUUAGCGAAAGCGAUAAGUAAUCCACCUGGGGAGUACGCCGGCAACGGUGAAACUCAAAGGAAUUGACGG